rnacentral:lncRNA from 1 species
UCAGAUUGACUUAAGGUCGCCAGAACCUGUAGCAAGCCUACUAUACAUUUUGUGUACCUGAUAGAAUCCCAUACAUGAUCAAACAUAACAACAAAAACUUAAAUAUUUCCAUGAAAUCGAGCUCAAUCUGUGCAUGUAUCAUACUGAAAACAUAAAACCCAUACUAGAGCCCUCAUCAAAUGCUCUAGUAUGGUUAACAUCACAUGCCUCAAGCUUGGUUCAAACAUAAAUCAUAUUUAAAUUUUUACAUAAAGAUCAUGUUAACAGAGAUUACAAGGUAAAGAAAACUAGGGCCAAGCACAAUUCUAAUCCAUUAUACAUUACAUGUCCA